rnacentral:rRNA from 1 species
GUCUACGGCCAUACCACCCUGAACGCGCCCGAUCUCGUCUGAUCUCGGAAGCUAAGCAGGGUCGGGCCUGGUUAGUACUUGGAUGGGAGAAUUAAAACAAUUAUAAAUG